rnacentral:lncRNA from 1 species
GGAGCUCUGAAAGGGUUUCACUUGGAAUCAGACUUCAGUCAACAUCUUCUCAUCGAGUAUAUGACCUAGAAACUUCCUUCUCAUCUUACGGUAUUUUUCCGUCAUACUUCCUCCACGAAACACCACUGGAUCUGGAUAUGACACCUCCAGCCUAAAGAUGAAGACAACCCUGGGGAUGGCAGAGAGAUUGAGAAGAAGCCUGGAUCCUUGAUGAAAAUGCUGACCAAUAAAUCAACAAAUUUUAGAGCCUGAUGUGUUUGGUGUUAUUGUU